UGAAGGGUUGUUCACACGCUCAGAGAAGGAAACGUUUUAAAUACCUAGUACUCACUUGGUUUUCUUCAGUCAUUGCAUUGUCUGAACCAUGCAGCAGUUUGUUCCAUAUUUCUUCUUGGCCAUCGUGCUUUUUCAGAUGAUAGAUAAUGCAGAAUCUCAGGGUGCAUUGAAUUCAAAUAUUAGACGCAGUGGCUCAGAUCGUCCGAGGAGUUUUUCCCGCCAAUUAUUACGCUUAGCGUCCGAUGCCCUUUGUGGGUUAUGCUGCAAUUUGAGAGGAGUACGGACCAGAAACAAGUGUGCAAUGAAAUUCUGUAUAAAUCCUAAGACUUGUGACUUUAUACUAACAAGACAGUUAACUCGAUCAUGAACAAAUUCGAAUUCAACCUCCGAUUUGAUAAACAAUACCACAGAGUUGAGCGUGCUUUGCAGUUUGAGCGACGAUUCGUGAAAUACAACCAAGAGUUCACCAAUUGAUCUAUUUUUCUGGAUGAUACGCUAUCAUUAAUUUGAAUGAUACUCAGACAAAUACCGAUUAACCUACUUAUUGCACGUAUUGUAUGUCUCUGUCAUUUAACAAAAUUUGAUGUCAAUUUUGAUUUUUUAUAAAGACUUGAAAACCUAA